UCUUUGCAACUCACAGCACAAUUGAAGCCCCUGUGUCAUUUCUGGGGUUUUAGAUAGCAACUAACCCAGCCCGCUAACAAGCGUUACCCAACAGAGAAGAGGGGGCAGAACAAACCACCAGACUCAGGACAUAGGCUGUCGGCAAAGGAAGGAGCAGAGCAGGGGAAGAGUGCCACCAUUCCUGGGUGGCAAGAAAGGGUCCUACAAUAAGAAUCUCUCCACACAUUGGGAUAAAUAAAUAUCUGAAUCACAUGGAUAUUACCUGAUGACUGUAGUCAGUACUUUGGGAGAAAAAACUAGGCUAUGAACUCAUAACACCUCUUCUAUUUCUGGGGGUUAACCUCCAAUACACAGGAGUAUAAACCAUAUGAGCCUUUUUCAGUUAUGGAUUGCUAGGUAAAUACGCUGUGACAACAAAGUUCCAUUCCCCCAGAGUGUCAGGAAGGUCACCUUGGUGGCUGUGUGAAGCAGUGUGUGAAGGGGACCACACCUGAAGACAGAGAGACUAGCUGGAUGACUAUUAGUUAAUUCAACCGAGAGGAGCUCUGUGAAGGCACUAGCAGCAAGGAUGGAAAGAAGAAACAAACUUUCGGAUGCCUGGGUGGCUCA